CACGUAGGGGACGAGCGUUGUCCGGAUUUAUUGGGCGUAAAGAGCUCGUAGGCGGCUUGUCGCGUCGUCCGUGAAAACCCACAGCUCAACUGUGGGCUUGCGGUCGAUACGGGCAGGCUAGAGUUCGGUAGGGGAGACUGGAAUUCCUGGUGUAGCGGUGAAAUGCGCAGAUAUCAGGAGGAACACCGGUGGCGAAGGCGGGUCUCUGGGCCGAUACUGACGCUGAGGAGCGAAAGCGUGGGGAGCGAACAGG
rnacentral:rRNA from 1 species